GUGGGGAAUUUUGGACAAUGGGCGCAAGCCUGAUCCAGCCAUUCCGCGUGCAGGAUGAAGGCCUUCGGGUUGUAAACUGCUUUUGUACGGAACGAAAAGGUUCUCUCUAAUACAGGGGGCUGAUGACGGUACCGUAAGAAUAAGCACCGGCUAACUACGUGCCAGCAGCCGCGGUAAUACGUAGGGUGCAAGCGUUAAUCGGAAUUACUGGGCGUAAAGCGUGCGCAGGCGGUUUUGUAAGACAGUGGUGAAAUCCCCGGGCUCAACCUGGGAACUGCCAUUGUGACUGCAAGGCUAGAGUGCGGCAGAGGGGGAUGGAAUUCCGCGUGUAGCAGUGAAAUGCGUAGAUAUGCGGAGGAACACCGAUGGCGAAGGCAAUCCCCUGGGCCUGCACUGACGCUCAUGCACGAAAGCGUGGGGAGCAAACAGGAUUAGAAACCCUUGUAGUCC
rnacentral:rRNA from 1 species